GAGCCCAAAGGCGAAACCUGCAUGAAAGAAGAGGGCUUCAAGAAUGCUAGGCUUCCAGGAUUUCAAAUUCAAAGAGAGGAAGAGCGAAGCCCGGAGAUACCCCAAAUCGGUUGGGGUCCUUGUGUUUUCAGGGUUUGCGUCUUCAGUGGUGAGCUUCUUUGACUGCCCAUUGAGAUGCCGAUGUUUAUUUGAAAGGUGGAGAACAGAAGGUCAAUUUUGCUUGGCAUCUAACAGAAAGACACUUAUUUCUUCAAGAAUUUGAUUAUGGUAUGUCCUCCUACAUAUUUUAGCACCUAACGUUGAGACUCGCUGUCUUGGGUCUGGACCGAUAUAUUGAAGAUUCAAGAGAUAGACCUGAAAUGUUCAUGAAAGAAGAUACAAAAUGUAAAAAUGCAUAGUAACCUUGUAUCCAAAUUUUCAUACAACAUAUAAUACAUUGUUAUUCUGGUCCUGAGAUCCUUGAUGUGAUGAA